rnacentral:rRNA from 1 species
CGGUAAUUCCAUCUCCAAUAGCGUAUACUAAAGUUGUUGCAGUUAAAAAGCUCGUAGUUGGAUUUCUGCGGGGACGGAGCGGCCGGACGCAACUUGCGCCUCGAGCUAGCGCUUUCCCCACAUCCUGCCGCGAACCGUGCUACCAUUAGUUUGGUGGCGCUGGGGAUCGGCUCGAUUACUUUGAGAAAAAUAGAGUGUUCAAAGCAGGCCACACGCCUUGAAUAAGUUAGCAUGGAAUUAUGACUAAGGACUUUGGUUCUUUUCGUUGGUGUUCGGGACUGAAGUAAUGAUUGAUAGGGACAGUUGGGGCGGUCCGUAUUCCAAAGCGAGAGGUGAAAUUCUUAGACCUUCGGAAGACGAACAGCUGCGAAAGCGUUCCGCAGGGAUGUUCCCUUUGAUCAAGAACGAAAGUUGGGGGAUCGAAGACAAUCAGAUACCGUCGUAGUCUCAACUAUAAACUAUACCAGCUAGGGAUCGGCCAACGUUUAAUUAUUCGACUUGGUCGGCACCUUAUGAGAAAUCAAAGCAUCUGGGUUCCGGGGGGAGUAUGGUCGCAAGGCUGAAACUUAAAGGAAUUGACGGAAGGGCACCACCAGGCGUGGAGCCUGUGGCUUAAUUUGACUCAACACGGGAAAACUUACCAGGUCCAGACAUAGGAAGGAUUGACAGAUUGAUAGCUCUUUCUUGAUUCUGUGGGUGGUGGUGCAUGGCCGUUUUUAGUCGGUGAAGUGAUUUGUCUGCUUAAUUGCGUUAACGGACGAGACCCCAGCCUGCUAAAUAGCGCGGUCGAGCUUUGCUCGGCACGAGCUUCUUAGAGGGACCAUGAUGCGCGAUAGCACAAGGAGGUUUGGGGCAACAACAGGUCUGUGAUGCCCUUAGAUGUUCUGGGCCGCACACGGGCUACACUGCGGGGUUCAACGAGUAUAUACCCUGCGUAGAAAUGCGUAGGAAACCUUAUGAAAACCCCGCGUGCUUGGGAUAGACUAUUGCAAUUAUUAGUCUUCAACGAGGAAUUCCUAGUAAACGCAAGUCAUCAGCUUGCAUUGAUUACGUCCCUGCCCUUUGUACACACCGCCCGUCGCUCCUACCGAUUGGAUGAAUCGAUGAGUCUUUUGGAGAAUUCCGGCUGACCACAUUGUGCGACGCAGGUUUCGAAGUUAUGCAAAUCGCUUCAUCUAGAGGAAGGAGAAGUCGUAACAAGGUAACC